AAGUUGCGGCUAAAGAAUUUUGGAAACCCAAAUCGAUGGAAGAAACCCCAACCACAUUACAUUCCUUUUUAUCCGCAAUUUACCCCAACCCCAAUAGUACUCUCUCUCUCUCUCUCACGUCUAUGAAAUUUUCCUCUCGCCCUGAAAAACACGAUCAGCCUACUGCGACGUCGUUGCCUCCUCGCAGGUUAAAAAACUUGGAUGAGCUGGAUGAACACUAUAUAUGUUUGUUGUCCUCUGUUAUUGCGUCUGACCUGGAUGAGCUGAAAGGCAUGAAGAAGUUUGAAGUAGCUAAUGUUGAAGGAGAUGAAGUAGCUAAUGUCUGAAGUAGUUAGCUACUGGAGGAGAUGAUUGAAGAGGUCUGAAGUAGCUAAUGUAGUCAAAGUCCAGUACUACAUGCAGUGAUCCUGCUGAACGUUUUUUUGUAUUGUAAAAUUAAUGAUGAUGGAUGACUUGUGACUGUAAUAUUUUUUGAAAUGAUUAAAUGACUGUAAUGAAGAAGUUUGUACUACGUGAAGUGAUCCUGGUUUAAUGAUUGUAAUAUUUUCUGAAAUGAUUAAAUUUUAUGAAGAUUGAUGACAUUUGGUCUAAUAAGGUCAAAUAUUGAAUUGCUUGCCCCGUUAUCCACAAAA